rnacentral:rRNA from 1 species
GUGAGGAAUAUUGGUCAAUGGGCGAGAGCCUGAACCAGCCAAAUCGCGUGAAGGAUGAAGGUAUUAUGUAUUGUAAACUUCUUUUAUCGGGGAAUAAAGUGCGGGACGUGUCCCGUUUUGUAUGUACCCGAAGAAUAAGGAUCGGCUAACUCCGUGCCAGCAGCCGCGGUAAUACGGAGGAUCCAAGCGUUAUCCGGAUUUAUUGGGUUUAAAGGGUGCGUAGGCGGACUGUCAAGUCAGCGGUGAAAGUCCAUGGCUCAACCAUGGAAUUGCCGUUGAAACUGUCGGUCUUGAGUGUAGAUGAGGUAGGCGGAAUUCGUAGUGUAGCGGUGAAAUGCUUAGAUAUUACGAAGAACUCCAAUUGCGUAGGCAGCUUACCAGGCUACAACUGACGCUGAGGCACGAAGGUGCGGGGAUCAAACAGGAUUAGAAACCCGUGUAGUCC